CCAGGCUCCAUGCACUUCACACUGCAUCAACUGUUACUGGGAUUGCCAAGAAAAUCUGAGAGUUUAAGAUAUACUAGAACUUUUUAAUAUCAUGGAGGGAUAAAUUAAGCUAAAGUUAUCAACAAGAAGCCUAAAGAUACGAUUGUGGAUAUCAAGAGAAAGCUCCAUGCUGGAAAUAAUUGCUUUGGGAUUCAUCGACAUGUGCUAAAAGUGGAGAAUGUUCAUUAACACAGAUUAUACCACAUGAAAAGUGAGCUAAAUAGCCAGUGGCAUCUCCAGAUGCAAAGUGGAAGAGAAAAAAGUACCUGAAAGUGAAGGUCAAAAACCAUCCAGCCAACCUUCACUGAAAUUAAGAUGCUCCCAAAGACAAACCUACAUCAUACUGGAGCCACAGCAAAGAGAGAAAUUCUGAACAAAUAUUCCAAGAGAUUAGAGUUGUCCAGUGUUGGGACAGGCAGACUGGUAAAGGAGAGAGCCUCUCAUACUAAAGGUAUCAAAGCAUAACUGGGUGAUUAACAAAUAUACAGCAAAUGGGAUUUUUAUUUCUGAAAGAGACAGACUAGAUGCUACUAAAUUUUCCUUAUAACUUUACUAUUCUCUGAUGUUGCUUUGUCAAUUUCACAUGAAGAGAUUU